GCUUUGAAAGCUGCUAGUUUAAGCCCUGGUCUUGUAAACCAGUUUUAGAAAGUUAAACUCUUUCUCAAAGCU
rnacentral:tRNA from 1 species